ACAAAGUGUAGCUUAACCAAAGCCUCUCGCUUACACCGAAAAAACAUCUGUUAAACUCAGAUCACUUUGA
rnacentral:tRNA from 1 species